rnacentral:rRNA from 1 species
CCUACGGGUGACAGCAGUGAGGAAUAUUGGUCAAUGGACGAGAGUCUGAACCAGCCAAGUAGCGUGAAGGAUGACUGCCCUAUGGGUUGUAAACUUCUUUUAUAUGGGAAUAAAACGUUCCACGUGUGGGAUUUUGUAUGUACCAUAUGAAUAAGUAUCGGCUAACUCCGUGCCAGCAGCCGCGGUAAUACGGAGGAUCCGAGCGUUAUCCGGAUUUAUUGGGUUUAAAGGUAGCGUAGGUGGAUUGUUAAGUCAGUUGUGAAAGUUUGCGGCUCAACCGUAAAAUUGCAGUUGAAACUGGCAGUCUUGAGUACAGUAGAGGUGGGCGGAAUUCGUGGUGUAGCGGUGAAAUGCUUAGAUAUCACGAAGAACUCCGAUUGCGAAGGCAGUUCACUGGACUGCAACUGACACUGAGGCUCGAAAGUGUGGGUAUCAAACAGGAUUAGAUACCCUUGUAGUC